GGCGUAGUAUAAUGGUAGUAUAACGGUCUCCAAAACCGCUGAUGCGGGUUCAAUUCCUGCCGCCC
rnacentral:tRNA from 1 species